CUUGUACUCCCUCCGUCCGAAAAAGCUUGUCCCAAGCUUGUCACUCAAAUGAAUGUAUCUAGCACUAACUUGAUGGUAGAUACAUCAAUUUGAGGGACAAGCUUUUUCGGACGGAGGGAGCAGAUU
rfam:Triticum aestivum genome assembly, contig: Triticum_aestivum_CS42_TGACv1_scaffold_129314_2BL